AACGGGGGGAACAAGUCUUCAUUCGUCAUAAUUGGGCAUAAAGGGUCUGUAGGCGGUUUCUUAGGCUUUGAAGAAUAAAAGCUUAUAUAAUUAUGAGUAGCAUUCUUUAGAACUGAGAAGCUUUUUGAGGACGGGUGAAGGCAAUGGUACUCUCAAUGAAGAGAGUGAAAUUCAAAGAAAUUGACGAGGACAAACCAGAGGUGAAGACGAUUGCCUAGAAACGUAUACCUGACGCUGAGGGACGAAAGCAUGGGGAGCAAACAGUUU
rnacentral:rRNA from 1 species